rnacentral:rRNA from 1 species
GGCAAGCUACGUGCCAGCAGCGGGGGUAAUAGGUAGGGCCCGUGCGUUGUUCGGAGUUAUUGUGCGGAAAGCGGGCGCAGGUUGUUACAUAAGUCUGAAGUACAAGGCAGUGGCUGAACCAUUGUAUGCUUUGGAAACUGUGUAACUUGAGUGCAGAAGGGGAGAGUGGAAUUCCAUGUGUAGCGGUGAAAUGCGUAGAUAUAUGGAGGAACACCGGUGGCGAAAGCGGCUCUCUGGUCUGUAACUGACACUGAGGCUCGAAAGCGUGGGGAGCAAACAGGAUUAGAUACCCCGGUAGUC